rnacentral:tRNA from 3 species
GUGAACAUAGUUUAUAAAAAAUUCUAGCUUGUGAUUCUAGAGAGGGGGACUAAUAAUCCCCUGUUCACC